GCCUUCGUGGUGUAGUGGUUCUGCACGUUGGACCGAUAUUCUGGAGGUCCAUGGUUCGAUUCCAGGCGAAGGCG